rnacentral:tRNA from 1 species
AGCGGGUUAAUGUAAAGUAACAUGAUUGACUCAUGACCAAUUCAUAAAGGUGCAAAUCCUUUACCCGCAU